CCUACGGGAGGCAGCAGUGAGGAAUAUUGGUCAAUGGCCGAGAGGCUGAUCCAGCCAAGUCGCGUGAGGGAAGACGGCCCUACGGGUUGUAAACCUCUUUUGUCGGGGAGCAAAGCGAGUCACGUGUGACUCCUUGAGAGUACCCGAAGCACAAGCAUCGGCUAACUCCGUGCCAGCAGCCGCGGUAAUAGGGGGGAUGCGAGCGUUAUGUGGAUUUAUGGGGUUAAACGGGUGCGCGGGCGGCGAGUUCAGUCAGCGGUAAAAUUUCGGGGCUAAACCCCGACGAGCCGUUGAAACUGGCUGGCUAGAGUGGGCGAGAGGUAUGCGGAAUGCGUGGUGUAGCGGUGAAAUGCAUAGAUAUCACGAAGAACUCCGAUUGCGAAGGCAGCAUACCGGCGCCCAACUGACGCUCAGGCACGAAAGCGUGGGUAUCGAACAGGAUUAGAUACCCCGGUAGUC
rnacentral:rRNA from 1 species